rnacentral:rRNA from 1 species
GUGCCAGCAGCGGCGGUAAUACGUAGGUGGCGAGCGUUAUCCGGAUUUAUUGGGCGUAAAGCGAGCGCAGGCGGUUUCUUAAGUCUGAUGUGAAAGCCCCCGGCUCAACCGGGGAAGUGCAUCGGAAACUGGGAAACUUGAGUGCAGAAGAGGACAGUGGAACUCCAUGUGUAGCGGUGAAAUGCGUAGAUAUAUGGAAGAACACCAGUGGCGAAGGCGGCUGUCUGGUCUGUAACUGACGCUGAGGCUCGAAAGCAUGGGUAGCGAACAGGAUUAGAUACCCUGGUAGUCCAUGCCGUAAACGAUGAAUACUAAGUGUUGGAGGUUUCCGCCUUCAGUGCUGCAGCUAACGCAUUAAGUA